CAACCAUCAAGCGCCUCGCUUGUGUUGGGGCCCUGCGGCUGCCGCAGGCCCCCAAAUCCAGUGGCGGGCUCGUCGUCGUACCGAGUGCAGUAAACAUCCUCGCUCAGGGAACCCGACGGGUGCCGGCCGUGAAACCCCCCCUCCUUAA
rnacentral:misc_RNA from 1 species